UACGGAGGGUGCAAGCGUUAUCCGGAAUCACUGGGUUUAAAGGGUGCGUAGGCGGUGGCAUAAGUCAGUUGUGAAAUUCCCCGGCUUAACCGGCGGGACUGCGAUUGAUACUGCGUCACUUGAAUCAGGUUGAGGUAGGCGGAAUGUGACAUGUAGCGGUGAAAUGCUUAGAUAUGUCAUAGAACACCGAUUGCGAAGGCAGCUUGCUGGACCUGUAUUGACGCUGAGGCACGAAAGCGUGGGGAGCAAACAGG
rnacentral:rRNA from 1 species